rnacentral:rRNA from 1 species
GACUCUCGGCAACGGAUAUCUCGGCUCUCGCAUCGAUGAAGAACGUAGCGAAAUGCGAUACUUGGUGUGAAUUGCAGAAUCCCGUGAACCAUCGAGUCUUUGAACGCAAGUUGCGCCCGAAGCCAUUAGGCCGAGGGCACGUCUGCCUGGGUGUCACACAACGUCGCCAACGCCCGGU